CUACGNNAGGCAGCAGUAGGGAAUCUUGCACAAUGGGCGAAAGCCUGAUGCAGCAACGCCGCGUGCGGGAAGAAGGCCCUAGGGUUGUAAACCGCUUUCAGCAGGGAAGAAAAUGACGGUACCUGCAGAAGAAGGUGCGGCCANNNACGUGCCAGCAGCCGCGGUGACACGUAGGCACCAAGCGUUAUCCGGAUUUAUUGGGCGUAAAGAGCUCGUAGGCGGUUCGGUAAGUCGGGUGUGAAAACUCUGGGCUCAACCCAGAGAGGCCACCCGAUACUGCUGUGACUAGAGUGCGGUAGGGGAGCGGGGAAUUCAUGGUGUAGCGGUGAAAUGCGCAGAUAUCAUGAGGAACACCAGUGGCGAAGGCGCCGCUCUGGGCCGUAACUGACGCUGAGGAGCGAAAGCAUGGGUAGCAAACAGGAUUAGAUACCCUGGUAGUCCAUGCCGUAAACGUUGGGCACUAGGUGUGGGUCUCAACCAACGAGAUCCGCGCCGUCGCUAACGCAUUAAG
rnacentral:rRNA from 1 species